rnacentral:rRNA from 1 species
UUGGUCAAUGGCCAAACGGCUGAACCAGCAACUUGGAAGAACGAAAAAUGAUUAAGUCAUAUAAAGUUCUGGAUAAAAUAAAGAGAAUGACUAUUUUUUAUCUAUAAGUCUUGACCAAAUUACGUGCCAGCAGUCGCGGUAAUACGUAGAAGACUAGUGUUAUUCAUCUUUAUUCGGUAUAAAGGGUACCUAGACUGAAUGCCAAGCUGUUUUAAGAACUGGUAUUCUAGAGUUUUAUGUAGGAAUAUGCGAAUUACCAGAGGAGAGUCAAAAUUCUAUUAUACUGGUAGGACGGGUAACGGCGAAGGCUAUAUUCUAAGUAAAAACUGACGUUGAGGGACGAAGCCUUGGGCAGCGAUUAGGAUUAGAUACCCUAGUAGUCCUUGGAGACAAAGAUGAGUGCCAUAAACUAGAAUGAUUUAGUUUAUAAACGAAAGUGUAAGCACCCCACCUCAUGACUAAGGCGGAAAUGCACAAAUUGAAAUCAUUAGACCGUUUCUGAAACCAGUAGUGAAGUAUGUUAUUUAAUUCGAUGAUCCGCGAAUAACCUUACCACGUCUUGAAUAAUAUUAUAAAUAUUACAAGUGCUGCACGGCUGUCUUCAGUUAAUGUCGCGAGAUUUUGGUUAAUUCCUUUAAUUAACGAAAACCCUUACUUUACUUGUUUUUAAAGUAUUUUUCCAUAAAGGGAAAAAGAAAAGGGACCAAGACAAGUCAUCAUGGCCUUAAU